rnacentral:rRNA from 1 species
AGGGCUAGCCUCAAGGUGAGAGAUACGGAGGUAGAGCACUGAAUGUCCUAGGGGGUAUUGCACCUACCGAAGACUAUCAAACUCCGAAUGCCGUCAUCUUAUACUUGGGAGUCAGACUGUGGGUGAUAAGAUUCAUAGUCGAAAGGGCAACAGCCCAGAUCGUCAGCUAAGGUCCCUAAAUGUAAGUUAAGUGGUAAAGGAUGUGGGAUUGCACAGACAACCAGGAUGUUGGCUUAGAAGCAGCCACUCAUUCAAAGAGUGCGUAAUAGCUCACUGGUCGAGUGAUCCUGCGCCGAAGAUUUCCGGGGCUAAAACUUACUACCGAAGCUACGGCAUCAGUAAUGAUGGGUAGGGGAGCUUCCCAUACGGGUUGAAGCAUGACCGUAAGGACAUGUGGACAGUAUGGGAGUGAGAAUGUUGGCAUGAGUAGCGAGAUGUGGGUGAGAAUCCCACAGGCCGUAAACCCAAGGUUUCCAGGGGAAGGUUCGUCCGCCCUGGGUUAGUCGGGACCUAAGCUGAGGCCGAAAGGCGUAGGUGAUGGACAACAGGUUGAUAUUCCUGUACUACCGAUAACCGUUUGAGAGAAGGGAUGACACAGUAGGAUAAGCUAAGCACACUGUUGGUUAUGUGUGCCCAAGCAUUGAGGCAGUCAAAGUAGGCAAAUCCGCUUUGAUAAUGCUGGGAUGUGAUGGGGAGCGAAAUUUAGUAGCGAAGUAGCUGAUUUCACACUGUCAAGAAAAGUCUCUAUCGAGGUUAAAGGUACCCGUACCGCAAACCGACACAGGUGGGUGAGGAGAGUAUCCUAAGGCCAGCGAGAGAACUGUUGUUAAGGAACUCGGCAAAAUGACCCCGUAACUUAGGGAUAAGGGGUGCCACCAUCAGGUGGCCGCAGAGAAUAGGCCCAAGCGACUGUUUACCAAAAACAUAGGUUUCUGCUAAGUCGCAAGACGAUGUAUAGGAGCUGACGCCUGCCCGGUGCUGGAAGGUUAAGGGGAUCUGUUAGAGCAAUCGAAGCAGUGAACUUAAGCCCCAGUAAACGGCGGCCGUAACUAUAACGGUCCUAAGGUAGCGAAAUUCCUUGUCGGGUAAGUUCCGACCCGCACGAAAGGCGUAACGAUUUGGGCACUGUCUCAACAACAGACUCGGUGAAAUUGUAAUUCCGGUGAAGAUGCCGGAUACCUGCGACAGGACGGAAAGACCCCAUGGAGCUUUACUGUAGCUUGACAUUGGGUCUUGGUACUACAUGUACAGGAUAGGUGGGAGGCUUUGAAACCAGGACGCCAGUUUUGGCGGAGCCAUCCUUGGGAUACCACCCUUGUAGUACUGGGACUCUAACCAUAGGCCAUGAAUCUGGUCUUGGGACACUGUCAGGUGGGCAGUUUGACUGGGGCGGUCGCCUCCCAAAAGGUAACGGAGGCGCUCAAAGGUUCUCUCAGUACGGUCGGAAAUCGUACGUAGAGUGUAAAGGCAAAAGAGAGCUUGAUUGCAAGACAUACAGGUCGAGCAAGGAUGAAAAUCGGACUUAGUGAUCCGGUGGUUCUGCGUGGAAGGGCCAUCGCUCAACGGAUAAAAGCUACCCUGGGGAUAACAGGCUUAUCUCCCCCAAGAGUCCACAUCGACGGGGAGGUUUGGCACCUCGAUGUCGGCUCAUCACAUCCUGGGGCUGUAGUAGGUCCCAAGGGUUGGGCUGUUCGCCCAUUAAAGUGGUACGCGAGCUGGGUUCAGAACGUCGUGAGACAGUUCGGUCCCUAUCCGUCGCAGGCGUAGGAAAUUUGAGAAGACCUGUCCUUAGUACGAGAGGACCGGGAUGGACGUACCUCUGGUGUACCAGUUGUCCUGCCAAGGGCAUGGCUGGGUAGCUAUGUACGGAAUGGAUAAGCGCUGAAAGCAUCUAAGCGCGAAGCCAACUUCAAGAUAAGAUUUCCCACCGCAAGGGUAAGACCCCAGAAAGACUAUCUGGUUGAUAGGUCGAAGGUGUAAGUGCAGCAAUGUAUUUAGCUUAUCGAUACUAAUAGGUCGAGGACUUGACC